AUGCAUCUUCUCGAGGGAAGGAUACGUAUACGGCAUUUUUAUGAGUGGUUCUCCUCGCAAAAUACUAGUUCUCUUUCAUCGUGUAUGUGUAUUACAUAUACGGAAAGAUACAGAUGCAUCGUAUGCACAAAUGCAACAGGACAACGGUUGGGGAAGUCUCGAAGAGAACAUGUAGGUAUAUAAAGCCUGAGGAAACCGAACUGGAUAUCAGUCUUCAACAUGUUGCGUCCACUGCAUUUCGUGCUGCUUUUGUUGGCGAUAACCUUUGUGGUGUCCGUACCGGUGCCAGAACAAGUAGCUGAGAACGGACUAAGUAACUUAGAGGAAAGAGCUGAAGCAAAUGAUUUAGAAGCAGACGCUAGCUUUUGGGGAUACUCAAGACCAUGGAGAUAUGGCUGGGGUGGCGGAUUGUACGGCAGAGGAUGGGGUUGGGGUGGCAGAGGCUGGGGUGGCGGAUGGUACGGAAGAGGAUGGGGUGGCAGAGGCUGGGGAUGGUGGUAAAAUCAGAUGUUUAAGGAACAUUCUGAAUUCGACCGCACAAUUUUCGAUGUUAUAUGUAUAUCUGAGAAAUCUUUGAAAUGUAGCAAAGCAAACAAUUAUUAAGUAUAUUAUUAAGAAGCGUUCACGUUGCUUUUAAUGAAAAAUGUAAAAGGAACAAAAAGAAAGCAUAUAAAAGAGAAUAAAUAUUUAGCGAUUGAAAAAUGAAA